rnacentral:misc_RNA from 1 species
UCGUGCUUUAAAGGAUGAAUGACAAGUCACAAGUUAAACUAUCCUAGAUCUCUGAUCUAGUGGGACAUUUGGCACAUUGUCAGUGAUAUGUGUUCGCUUGUUUCCAUAAUAAAUUGGCACGGAAUGUGGCAAGGAAUAUAAAAUAAUGUUCCUCCUUUAAAUGCGAUACCUUGUUAUUUUUUGUAAAGGUGGAGAUUUAAUCAAUAAU